GAAAUGCGAUAAGUAAUGUGAAUUGCAGAAUUCAGUGAAUCAUCGAAUCUUUGAACGCACCUUGCACCCUUUGGUAUUCCGAAGGGUAUGCCUGUUUGAGUGUCAUUAAAUUCUCAACCUCUAUCAGCUUGCUGAUAAAGGCUUGGAUAUGGAGGAUAUAUGCGGGCUUUUUCAAGUCGGCUCCUCUCAAAUGCAUUAGCAAAAUCAUUGUGCUAGCUUAGGUGUGAUAAUUAUCUGCGCCUUGAUGCCUGCAUGUCUAUGAUUUGGCUUCUAAUCGUCCGAAAGAACAGCAUAUAUUGACAUUUGACCUCAAAUCAGGUAGGACUACCCGCUGAACUUAA
rnacentral:misc_RNA from 1 species